rnacentral:rRNA from 1 species
CCCGAAAGCUUAGGGAGCGACAGAUUAGAUACCCUGGUAGUCCUAGCCGUAACCAUGGGCACUUAGGUGUCGGCUCGCAAGGUCGGGUGCCGCAGUUAACACAUUAAGUGCCCCACCUGGGAGUACGUCGCCACGAUGAAACUCAAAGGAAUUGACGGGGGCCCGCACAACGGUGAAGCAUGUGGUUUAAUAGAAUGCUACGCCUGGACCCUUACCAGGACUUGACAUGUAUGUGGUAGUGAACCGAAAGGGAACGACCUCGCAAGAGGAGCAUACACAGGUGUUGCAUGGCUGUCGUCAGCUCGUGUCGUGAGAUGUUGGGUUAAGUCCUGUAACGAGCGCAACCCUUAUUUCUAGUUGCAACCCUAAGCCAGUUUACUGGUUUGGGGGCACUCUAGAAAGACUGCCAGUGAUAAACUGGAGGAAGGUGGGGACGACGUCAAGUCAGUACGGCCUUUAUGUCCUGGGCUACACACGUGCUACAAUGGGAUGUACAAUGAGAUGCAAGACCGCGAGGUGGAGCAAAUCUUUAAAGCAUCCCUCAGUUCGGAUUGCAGGCUGAAAUUCGCCUGCAUGAAGUUGGAAUCGCUAGUAACGGCGCAUCAGCCACGGCGCCGUGAAUACGUUCCCGGGCCUUGUACACACCGCCCGUCAAGCCAACUGAGUCGGUUGCACCCGAAGUCAUUGUUCUAACUCGAAAGAGGGGAAGAUGCCGAAGGUGUGAUCGGUAAGGGGGGCUAAGUCGUAACAAGGUAGCC